AUCAGUAAAAUGACAGCAACUAUGUACUGGGUUUUGGUUUUGGCACUAGCUGUCGUGGUAGCAGCCGCACCUUCUCCUGAUUUUGUAUCCAUAGUUUCACCUAAAGACAAGCCUUUUCCAGAAGACGAUAUAAGAAAUUUCGUGAAUUUCUUGGAACGUAAAGACCUUGAAGAUUUAAUCAAUUCAAUCAACAAAAGGGAUUUAGUCAAUAAAUUUAAUGAUGCUCGAAAAACAGCCAAAGAAAUAUGGAUGGGUGCUGCAAAUUCAAUAGGCAGCCUUAUAUAUCAACCUUAGUUAAUGGCCUAGGGCCAUAUUUUAGCGUGCAGUAUAAUGUGACAAUUUUUAAAUAAAAUAUCUUUAAAUAACUUAAAUAAAAAUUGUUAAAUUAAAACGUAAAAAAGAUUACCCUUUCUUUUUCAUACUUUACAUAUGAAAAGCUUUAUUAUUAUGUUUACAUUUAUAAUUUCAUCUAGAACAGCCACAAAAGUAUAAUAUUUACAUUACCUUCACAGGUUAAAAUAUUUGUUAUUUAGAUGAUGUUGACAUGGCCAAGAAUUGUUUUACUUUAUUAAAUCAACUAUACAAUGUGUGUUUUAACAGAGUUUUCUUUAUUACCAAUCCUGUUUUAAGUUCGUCAAUGUCGACAACCUAUGUUUAACUUUUAUUGCCAUUUGGGUUUUCCAAUCGUGAAUUAAUCCCUUAUAUUCAAAUGUUUUAUCAGUUGCACAUAUAAGAGCUAAGUUUUGUGUUGAUUAAAUGUUUUAUAUAAUUUGACAUGUAAAAUUGGUAAUCUAAUUAUUAUUUUCAAGACAUUUCACCAGCUUUAGCCUAAAAGCAUAGCAUUGUAUAAUUUUGACAGUGCUAAUUUUCAAAAUUCAAUUUUACCAAAAGGGUAAUAUAUUUGGAACUAUAUAUUGGAACACUUUGUGGCUAGUUGCCCUGUGUUCAAUGACUUGCGACUCUUGUAUUUUGGUGAACAAAAAAUACAAUAUGAGGAGUUUGUGGAUUAUUUGAAUGGGAAGGAUUGGCGGGGCCUUGGAAAUUUUUUAAAAAUUGCAUGGAAACGUAGAUGGGAGCUAGUUAGGGAAUUUAAUUUUUAAAAUUUUAUAUUACAAUAUGUUUAGAGUAUAAAUAUAUGUGUAUAUAUGCAUACAUGUGUAUGUGUAUAUAUCUAUGUAUAUGUGUGCAUAAAGAAGUGUUAUUUUAUUUUGUUUUAGUGCUCAGUAUGUUGAUUUAUGUGGGACAAUUUUAUUUUAUUAAUAUUGAAUGGACAUUAAUGCCAACCCAGCAGACGGUCGUAUGACCAUUGUUGUAUGUGCAUGUAUAAAUUAUCGCACCCAUUUCAUGUAGCCUACUGUACAUAGUAUGUAUUCAAUAAAGCACUUUUCUAUUCUAUUCUA